rnacentral:lncRNA from 1 species
AAAUCGGAUGGUUGCCGUGUCUGUGUAGAAAGAAGUAGACAUGGGAGACUUUUCAUUUUGUUCUCUACUAAGAAAAAUUCUUCUGCCUUGGGAUCCUGUUGAUCUGUGACCUUACCCCCAACCCUGUGCUCUCUGAAACAUGUGCUGUGUCCACUCAGGGUUAAAUGGAUUAAGGGCGGUGCAAGAUGUGCUUUGUUGAACAGAUGCUUGAGGGCAGCAUGCUCGUUAAGAGUCAUCACCACUCCUUAAUCUCAAGUGCCCAGUGACACAGACACUGCGGAGGGCCGCAGGGUCCUCUGCCUAGGAAAACCAGAGACCUUUGUUCACUUGUUUAUCUGCUGACCUUCCCUCCACUAUUGUCCUGUGACCCUGCCAAAUCCCCCUCUGCGAGAAACACCCAAGAAUGAUCAAUAAAAAAAAAAAAAAAUGUAAGGGAAAUUCCUAGAAUCCUGAAACAAAUAGGGGACUGAUUGCCAGAGUCGAAAGAAUUGAGUUGUGAAGCUUAUGCUACACGAGAGCCCACCAAAGGCUAUGUUGUCAGGGAAAAAAAUGAAAUAAGAAAACCCAGGUAGAGGUACAAACAAAGAAGCUGGGCUCCAUGUGAGAAAAAUGUUUUGUUUUGUUUGCUACAGAGUCUUGCUCUGUCACCCAGUGGUGGCACACACCUGUGGUCCCAGCUACUCGGGGCUGAGGUGGGAGGAUCACCUGAGCCCAGGACGGUUGAGGCUGCAGUGAGCAGAGAUCAUGCCACUGCACUCCAGCCUGGGAGAUAGAGCAGUGAGACACUGUCUUGAAAAGAUAAAUAAAAUAGUUGAAAAAUAAUUCAUUAUGAGUGAAAACCAACAGAUUUUUAAAAACAGAG